rnacentral:rRNA from 1 species
UACGUAGGGUGCGAGCGUUGUCCGGAAUUACUGGGCGUAAAGAGCUCGUAGGUGGUUUGUCGCGUUGUUCGUGAAAACUCACAACUCAAUUGUGGGCGUGCGGGCGAUACGGGCAGACUGGAGUACUGCAGGGGAGACUGGAAUUCCUGGUGUAGCGGUGGAAUGCGCAGAUAUCAAGAGGAACACCGGUGGCGAAGGCGGGUCUCUGGGCAGUAACUGACGCUGAGGAGCGAAAGCGUGGGGAGCGAACAGG